rnacentral:rRNA from 1 species
UACGUAGGUGGCAAGCGUUGUCCGGAAUUACUGGGCGUAAAGGGCGUGUAGGCGGCGAUGUAAGUCAGGCGUGAAAACUCUGGGCUUAACUUGGAGAUUGCGUUUGAAACUGUAUGGCUAGAGGAUCGGAGAGGGCAGUGGAAUUCCCAGUGUAGCGGUGAAAUGCGUAGAUAUUGGGAGGAACACCAGUGGCGAAGGCGGCUGCCUGGACGACACCUGACGCUGAGGCGCGAAAGCUAGGGGAGCAAACGGG